rnacentral:tRNA from 1 species
GGUGAUUGUAGCUCAGUUGGUUAGAGCACCAGAUUGUGGUUCUGGGGGUCGCCGGUUCGAACCCGGUCAUUCACCC